rnacentral:rRNA from 1 species
GACGAACGCUGGCGGCGUGCUUAACACAUGCAAGUCGAACGGAAAGGCCCUGCUUUUGUGGGGUGCUCGAGUGGCGAACGGGUGAGUAACACGUGAGUAACCUGCCCUUGACUUUGGGAUAACUUCAGGAAACUGGGGCUAAUACCGGAUAGGAGCUCCUGCUGCAUGGUGGGGGUUGGAAAGUUUCGGCGGUUGGGGAUGGACUCGCGGCUUAUCAGCUUGUUGGUGGGGUAGUGGCUUACCAAGGCUUUGACGGGUAGCCGGCCUGAGAGGGUGACCGGCCACAUUGGGAAUGAGAUACGGCCCAGACUCCUACGGGAGGCAGCAGUAGGAAAUAUUGCACAAUGGGCGGAAGCCUGAUGCAGCAACGCCGCGUGCGGGAUAACGGCCUUCGGGUUGUAAACCGCUUUCGCCUGUGACGAAGCGUGAGUGACGGUAAUGGGUAAAGAAGCACCGGCUAACUACGUG